UAGGGAAUCUUCCGCAAUGGGCGAAAGCCUGACGGAGCAACGCCGCGUGAGUGAUGAAGGUCUUCGGAUCGUAAAACUCUGUUAUUAGGGAAGAACAAAUGUGUAAGUAACUAUGCACGUCUUGACGGUACCUAAUCAGAAAGCCACGGCUAACUACGUGCCAGCAGCCGUGGUAAUACGUAGGUGGCAAGCGUUAUCCGGAAUUAUUGGGCGUAAAGCGCGCGUAGGCGGUUUUUUAAGGCUGAUGUGAAAGCCCACGGCUCAACCGUGGAGGGUCAUUGGAAACUGGAAAGCUUGAGUACAGAAGAGGAAAGUGGAAUUCCAUGUGUAGCGGUGAAAUGCGCAGAGAUAUGGAGGAACACCAGUGGCGAAGGCGACUUUCUGGUCUGUAACUGACGCUGAUGUGCGAAAGCGUGGGGAGCAAACAGG
rnacentral:rRNA from 1 species